GUCCAGACUCCUACGGGAGGCAGCAGUGGGGGAUAUUGCACAAUGGGGGGAACCCUGAUGCAGCGACGCCGCGUGGGUGAAGAAGCGCCUCGGCGCGUAAAGCCCUGUCAGCAGGGAAGAAAAUGACGGUACCUGAAGAAGAAGCCCCGGCUAACUACGUGCCAGCAGCCGCGGUAAUACGUAGGGAGCGAGCGUUGUCCGGAUUUACUGGGUGUAAAGGGUGCGUAGGCGGCUAUGCAAGUCAGUAGUGAAAUCCAUGGGCUUAACCCAUGAACUGCUAUUGAAACUGCACAGCUUGAGUGAAGUAGAGGUAGGCGGAAUUCCCGGUGUAGCGGUGAAAUGCGUAGAGAUCGGGAGGAACACCAGUGGCGAAGGCGGCCUACUGGGCUUUAACUGACGCUGAGGCUCGAAAGCGUGGGGAGCAAACAGGAUUAGAUACCCGCGUACC
rnacentral:rRNA from 1 species